GGGAUAACAUUUGAAAUGUAAAUAAAAAUAUCCAAUAAAAAAAAGAUUGGUUUAAACUCAGAAUUCUAGAAGCAAGGAUCCCAGAGUAAUCACUUUCCUUUAAAAAAAAGUGGUCAUCACAGUUUCCAGAGAGUUAUGUGUUCCGGGAAUUUGAAACUGGUACUUGAUGGACAGAACAUUAUAAAAGAGACAGACAGUGUUGGCAGCGAAUGGUGAACUUCACCAUGAAUUUAGUCUGCAGGCCGUGGGUGACAUGUGCCUCAGGAGAUCUAUGACUGUGGCCCAAUGCAAAAUCAUAAAUUUCAGAUAUCAUGAGAUCUUAAAGUAUAAAUACAUGUGUGGUUCUCAUAUGUAAAGCUGUAGGUGACAACGCCAUGCUGCAGCGUUUAAAGGUUGGACACAGGUGCAUGAGCACUGGGAAGUGCUGAAGGAUGGAUUUAUUUACAUAGGUUUCAGGACAUCAGGAAGGAUCCUCUCAUACAAGGACGAGGAAGUUGAAGUGGUCCGCGCCUUCUUAAUCAACCACCUACAUCAUGGAUCUGCUCCUUUAUACAUGAGGGCAGGUUCCUUACCACCAAAGCUAAAAUGUUUCCUGAAGAGAUGUGGCAAGGAAUAGUCAUUAUUGUGUGAAAAGGGCAGUGACAAAGUAGACCCCAGCAGUGACCGGACAAGAACUCCCACAAGAAGCAACAAGCAAGCUGAGAAUAGAGUUAACAGGCCACUACUGUACAAGACAUAAAUGGCGGUGUUAAAGCAACUUCAACAGGAGGAGGAAAAGAUUCCCACUAAGAGGACAAUAUCUUGUCACCCUGGGAUUUGUCCAAGAGCAUCUAAGUGGUAAUUCCCUGAGGGGGUUUUAGAGAGGUCCCCUGUGCUAAGAGCAGCAUUUGAUGGAACAUCUAUCUAGCUCGUUGAGAUCUACAACCAAGUUUUGCUCCUUAGGUGAGUUUCUUAUAUUCUUCCUUUUUUUCAUUCUAUGUUUUUUACUACUUGAGACUAAUUUUUUCUUCAUUUUUCUUCUGUGGGUAGAAAAGGUGAAUUAGUGUCAACAUUUUGUUUUUCCAUUAAAAGAUGAUGGCACAUGAAUUAAUAAGAAAAUGUUUAUGUUUUAAAAUAGGUGGAAGCAAAAUUGAAAAGAAUUCUUAGGCUUUUACCUUAGGAUCUGAAUGAUUCGUGUGUCUAAGCAACCCAAAUAUUCUGUGUGCCUUUGAGCCUCUCUCCCCCAAAUAUGGUAUCCUCAUAUUGGAUCAUUUCAGCCUUUGGUGCAACAGAAUUACAGUUCAACACACUGGAAGGUGAAAAACAUCUAAAAUAUCUUUUCCUUUCCUCUUUUUUGCAAUGAAGGUGGAAGCUAGUAAUUAAAAGGAUAUUUACGUAACACACUGGAUGGUGUCUCUGGUACUCAGCUGUGCUGGAUCCUCUCCAGCAGAAGCUCAGCUCUAAACAAGUUCCCACCUGCUCACCGAAGGGCUUAUUUUACCUGUUUGAGCACCUUCGCUUUUCCUUGUUUCUAACCAUGGUACCAAAGAGAAACACAGACUAAUGACUCUGCCUGUUUCUUGGCAGUUUUAUGGAUGGGAUUUAAAGGUAAUAGGUUGUCUUCUUUUCUGGUUGGUCUAGAAAGCCAGAGUGCUAAAGCUGGUAAUGCUUGGCUUCUGGGGAGAAAAACCUGUCUAGACCCUCUCUCAUUACUGACAGGAGGGAUGGUUAUAACUGAGGGGUGAAGAAAGGCGUCCCUCUGCGUGCGCAAGCUGUGUGGACCAUGCUUGUGUCUUCAUUUUCCUUUUUGUAGAUAGCAAAUAAUACAGACAUAUAAGAGCAUUAGUGAGCCUCAAGUAAGAUGUUUGCUUAAGUGAUUCUCAUUCACUAGGUACUCAAUGAGCACUGGCUUCCUUCCCUGAUUAUAUGUUCAUUCUAGGGAAAAGGAUCAGCCUCAGCUGAAUGCGAAAGAUCGACUUUCCUAUAGCAUCGUAAGUGCAGAAUCAACAAUGGGAAUGACUGGGGAGCCAAGACACUUUCAGAUUGACCACAGGCAUCUUUGUAGCCGCUGCUCCCCUAAUUCUAUUUAUUUACCAAGUAUAUGCAGACUUCCAUUUUCAGAGCUGGUUGUUAGCAUAUGGAAGGCAUGAUUGAGUGAGUCUUAAUCACUUUUCUCAAAGGUCUCCUAAUAUUGUGCGACACAGCUGUGUAAAUACAAUGACAAAAGCCAACAGUCACAGAACACUCACUAUGUGCCAGGCACUGUCCUAUGUGCUUUGCAUACACUAAUUCAUUUACUCUGUCCAACAGCUAUGUAACUUGGUUGUGUGCACCAAAAUGUGCCAUGAAACAUUCAUGAACCCCAAAAAGACCACCAAGAAGCCAAAUCCAAUGCAAUCACAAUAGGGUCUCUUUACUCAAGCUCAAGUUUGGGCUCCUUGCCAACCCUGACACAGCAGGAACGUGGAGCCCUGAGCCUAGUUUUAGGCAAGCAUUUAUAGAAGCAAGAAGGGGGUAUAUAGCCUGGUACACAUCUGAUGUGAGGGGGCAUCAAGGCCUUUAACAUAAUUGACUGAUGCUGAGAGGCAAACUAUAACUGCUUUUUUCCUGAUUGGUGGUUGUUAGGAAGUGAAGGGUCAGGGUUGGCCUUGUAACCUGGGCGUGUACACUUGUUUAGUGAAUAACCUAGAAACUGAUAAACACGGGUCUUAAUGGGGGGCAGCCUGGAAACUGGUGCUAGGUCAGUUAAUGAAUUAGUUAGGUUAGAACUGUUAGUUAACUUGAGUUCAACCUCAGAUCAGGUUCUCUAAGAUGGAGUCUGAACCCAAAAGUUUUGGCCUCUUAAUAUCAGCUACUGUGUUGAGUCAAUAAUGGGCUCAGAGAGGGCUACCCAGUGGUCACAUAGCUAGCCAAUGAGAUCUGGAUCUACAACAUUUUUCUCUUUACCACUAUGCUUUAUUACCAUGCUACAUACAAGAUAGCAUAAAGUCUUCUUGAAGAUCCCAAUGUCAAGGACUGUGGACAGAUUGCUUGACAAAACUAAAAGAAUAGGAGACUUUAGAUGUAUCUUUCAAUAUUAGAAUAUUUACAUUAAGUUGAUUUUAGCUUCCUCAAACAUUGUCUUCUGUGAUAUGUCAUUUUGAUCCAAGGGCUUUUCUAGUCUCCAAAAAGUUUCAAGAAUUGGGAGCCAACCCAUCCUGCUGGCUACAGGUCUUUCUCUUUAAUUCCUCCAAGUCCCAUUUGAAAAUUUGAGCAGCCAAGGAACAAGUUCUCUUACUCCAAGAUAUAGUGCAAGAAAAUCUUCCUUGUGAGCAAGGAAAAAUCAGUACCUUUGGGCUUGCUGUUUGCCAUCCAUGGACCAAAAACUUUCUAGAUCAUCACAGUGCUAGAAGAGGAAAGGUCUCAUUCAGGGCAAAUGAUGAUAGUUACUGAGGAUAGCUUAUGACUACCACUAAUGCAUCUCUUGGCAAAGAGAAGGGACUCUACUGGUCAUUGUGUUUUCCAUUUGCACAACUAUCAGAAAGCAACUUAGAGACUGGAUCCAGAUCGGUCCACAUGACCUCAGCUCCACUGUGCUUUGACUCGCUACUCCCUAGCCUGGGUUCCCAAUUGCGUGUGUAUUCUGUGACUGUUUUUCCUACCUGGAAGCUAUAGCCUUUUGUUGGAGAAAACUGCAUCCACUUCUGCCACUCCUUCCACUAUCAGGAAUUCACGAUGGCAUCUACAUCAAAGGCGUAGGGAGUGUGCUCUGGAGAAUGUUUGCUUACAUGCUGUUUCAGACUGUACCUGGGAGGGUAAUCUUUUCAUCCUCGCUGUGCCUUCCUUAGAAGCCUAUCAAACCACUCCUGGCCUUUUCCUACUCCCUUUUAUCACCCUCUGGAACAAAGUUGGGACUUGUGCAAUGACGGGGUGCUUUUCUGUGGGAACAAUAAUCUCAUUUCAAUAUGUGUGGGUGGGUAGAUUAUAUAUUACGGGCUUGGAGCUCAGUUGUAGGACGAGGGAGGGACUCGGUUAAAUAGUUGUAUGAUUAACAAGCUGCGGGAUUUUUAUGGUUGCGGGAAAAAAGGCUACUGUGGGAAUAACCGGGUCAGAUGGAGAAUGAUUCAGCCCAAGGCAUUCUGUAGGUUAUAAGGUGGGAGUGGAGACAGGCAAGGAAGUGGGUCCCCCACGUGUUAGAAAACAAGUGAAGAUUAUCUCUUCAGAAGCACUUGAAUAUGCACUCUCUUUUCCUCUCCUCGUUUCUUCUUCCUCCCCUUCCUUCUUGUCUUUUUUAAACUUUUCUACCUCCUUGGGGGAAAAAUAAAUCUGGAUUACAGAGGAAAAACGCCCUGUAAUAGGUGCUGCUUCCCUGUAUCAGAGCUUGCUGUUAGUAGCCAGCUAUUAGUUACACAGAAUGGCUAGACAAGGAAGUGGACAUUUGCUGCCUAGCUAGUAUACUUUUUUUUCAUUAAUCAGAUCACCUGUCUUGAUUUGACUCACCAUGUUUGCAAGUGUAAACUGGACUCAGUAACUUUCCAUGUUUCCUCUGAGCUGUCUACUCACUGACAGUUUGUGGGGACCUGACAAGUGUAGGACUGCAGGUAUAGCAACAAACUCUUGGUCCCUGCCUGGGUAUUAAGCCAAGGGAGAAAGGACACCAAAGUCAGGCAGAUGGAGACAAGAUUGUCACCACCUCUCUAGAAAAAUACUGCUAAGGGUCAAGAUCCCAGGGAACAGAAGUAAUAACUUUCCAGAGGCCCCAAAUGUCAAAUAACAAGCAAUUUGUUGACCCAUUCUCCAAUGCAGGUCAAACAAAUGUGUUUUCCACCUGCUAAUGGCGGUGGGGUCUUCUUCUCUGGGAGGCUUUCAGCACGGAAACACAACUCAUGCAAUGUCUUUUGCUUUCAGAGCUACUCGAAAGACUACCAAAUGAACAGAUUGUGUGAUUACUGCUUCCAAAUUCAUUAGCAGCUAAGUCAUCCCCUUCCCAAUGAGAGGCUAUGCCACAGGGCAGAAACAAGGAAUGUUGAGAGAAUAUUGCACUAAAGCCAAUAGCCAUCUUUCUAACAACUGUUGCCCAUGCACACAUCUCAGUCUAGUUGGUUAUUAGAUCAAGACCAUAAGGACUAAUCUGGCCAAUAGUCUUCCACAGAAGCCACAUGCAUGAUUAAUUAAAAAUUUCUUCUGUCCCUCUCUAACUGCCAUGGUGACUCUGAAGGAUAUAUGUUGCAGAUGGCAUAAUUACAAGACAGUGGAAGCAUGUUGAAGCUGGAAAAAAAUGUACUGUGUGACUGACAAAUCAAAUGUAUGUCUUUAAACCAUUGAAAUUCAAAGUUUCUAUUGUUGUUCUGGAAAAAGAACUUCUUCUCUCCUGACUAAAAAUAUUUGUCCUUCCUCAAAUCAAGGACUUGGUCGACUACGAAAAGGACAAUAAUUUUUGUGUUCAAGAACACUUGAUUUAAUGGGGAAGACAGAAAACACACAGGGAAGGAUAAUUAUUAUCUGUGUUAGGAACACUGAAGUGCAGAAAGCAGUUCUUGGAAGAAUACCUUGAAAUGUGUGUACAGAGUAAACACCACUUAUGAAAGACAUUGGAGCAAACGUAAAAUGAUGUGUUUAAGUAAAUGGUAAUAGAUCUUUCACACAAUGAAGAGAGAGUCUUCUCAUGGGAGAGCUUUCCUCCUACGGGGUACAUGUAUAAGACCUAAUUCAUAAAGUGUUUCUUCUACACUUUGCCAUUAGCUAAGAAAGUUUAUGGCUUUUCUCUUCCUGUUGUGGUUUCUUAUAAAAAGUAAAGCUUUGAUUUGGAUUUGACAGAUGGGUACCUACAAUAUUAAGUAUGAGAGCCAGACUCCAUGAAACCCCAUCAUCAUUUAAAUGUGUUCUCCCUCAUCCCCACCCUGAUUGACAUGUCCUGCCUGGUUAAACAUCAUUGAUUUGGAAUGAACCUUUGAGCUCUCAGAAUUGUAACCCCAUGACCAGUAUUGAUAGAGAAUCAAUAGUUCCAUCCUUUAAUUAGAAGAAUGUGGAUAUUCCUUUUAAAGCAAAUAUAUAGGGUUUUUUUUGUGAUCUACAUAGUACUGCACUAAUCAAUUAUUUGGGGGGGAUCUGUGAAUGAUCCAUUGUCCUUUAUUUUGGUGACAUUAUCUUGUUUUCCAUUAGGUCAUCUUCAUAUCCCUACUCUCUGUCUACCUGUAAGUUGUACAUGAGUCACAGAUCCAUACUCUGGAGACAGUAGUGCUCUCUUGACAAUGAGUGAUUCAAAACUGGGGCUGUGACCCAACCUAGUUCAUUGACAGUUAGGCUUUAAUCCUUUAGGAGAAUCUGGUGGCUUUAAUUUUGAAUGGAGAGGAUAUAAACUGUCUUUUCCAUUGCCUAUCAAUCUAGGAGAACACAGACCUGCAGCUACUAGCUUCCGUGUGACUUCUCUGGGAAUCCUAACAUUAGAGAGAGCAGUGCUGCUUCAAGCCUUGAUGAAUCCAUCACUCAUGCCAACUUCCUUCUGGCCUCAUGCCAACAUGAGUUGGCUUUUCUAUGGUUUGCAAUGAAACGAAAUCUAAUUAAUGUUGGGACAAAAAUUCUCAUGAGGAAAAGAAAAAAGCCAAUGCACCUACCAUCAAUUAUUUCACUGAUUUGAAGCCAUUCUCUACUUUCCUCAAAUACCUGAGUGCUUCAGAGCAGUUGUAGAAAUUGUCUUGCGAAGGAAAUCAUGAUCUAAUCUUUUUUUCUUAAGGCAGAGCAUAUUUAUUGAAUGUAAGGAAUAAUUAUUUUUACGUAAUUAAAUACUUCUAGUCAAAGUAUGAAAUGGGUAAUGAUAGAAACAAUUUUUUAAAACAUAUCUAAAAACCAUAUAAAGGCCAGGUAAAUACAAAACUACACUGCAAUUUUUUCUAUUUGAAAGUCCUUUUCUCAAUAAGAACUUACACAAAUGUUAACUGUUUUGUUCUUUGGGUAAACUUAAUUAAGUCAACAUGCAUAGCUAAUUUAUUUGCUCUCUUCCUAUGGUAAUGCCAUCUUGGGGAGUAGUUACGACUUUAGAAGGCCCAAGGGAGAUUAAACAAUCCAAAAUGGAGAAAUAGGUCAAGUUUACCUCAAAUGGUUCAUAGGUUUCUGUUAAUAUUUUCUCUCAUCUCUAGAAAAAAGUGAAGAAGGGAGCAGGGUAAAAAAGAGAAGGAAGGAAAUGAGGGAACAAUAGAGAAAUAAAAGAAGGAUGGAAAAGAAGCAGAGAGGGAGAGAAAACAAGAAGAAAGGGAAAGAAAAUGAUUAAAUGCAUUAUUAAAACCUAAUUGUCACUGUAAUUAAGCUCCUGAGGUAAAUGUUAUUUCAAGUUUAUGAAUGGAACCAGAGGCCACAAGAGAGUGGUAAUUAAUCUUAAUUUCAAAUAUUGAGGUACUUUCUACAUGCCUGUUAUGAAUUGCUUGUUUCUCACAGCAACCCAGUGAAGUAGACAACUUGAUCUUCUGUUCAUAGGUGAGAAAAUAGGAACCAAAAGAGGUAGAAUAAUGCAUCUAAGCUCACACAUUUGGGUAACCCUGCUCUCAAACCUAUGUCCUAGACCAUUAAACAUUCUUGGCCCUAUGGCCAAUGGAUUUAUGCAGUUCAUUUGCUUGAGCUUUUAAAACUCAUUAGUAGUUAUAACUGUCAUGUUUCUCCACUGCAGAUAAUGUAAUUACAUUGUUAUUUCCAGAAGAAAGGGAUCCAGUGAAGAAUGAAGACAAUACUCCAAGCUGAAAAAGAGGUCUGAUAGUAUGUUAAUAAACAUUUGCAAAUGAUUCCCAGAGCCAUGCCUUGAAACUAAUCUACCCAGAAAAGGGAUGACCCUUGCAUGGCCAGUGUAGUAUUGAAACAGGGGAAAUCAUUGUUUCUGCUCAGGGCUCUUAGUCUAUUAGAAGAUAAUUUAAGAACAGACCUAAAAGAAAAUUAAAAUACAACUUUAUUAUAUUUUAUAAAAAAAAACUCCACCUAUAAAUCUCGGCAGCUGCUGAAAGGAGAACAGGAGUGAAAAGGGGGGGGGGGAGGCUAUGUUGUUUAAGCAGCCAUGGAACCCAGAUACACGGUAGGCAAGCAGUCAAGUGGUGUUCUUGGUGGGGGUGAAUUGAGAAAAAUAAAAGGGUAAAGAAGCAUAAUGUAUCAGAAAAAGAACAUGUGGAUUCUGGCAGGCAUCAAAAAGAAAGAGAAUAAAGAAAAGGGAAGGGAGGUUUGGAAGACCCAUUUUAACCUCAUGGCUUCACAGCUCAUGGAGCCACAAAUCUGGGAAUAUUCCACCCAAAAAUAUAAGAAAGACAAGAAUAGAAAAAGCAAUAGUCAGUAUUUGAGCAAAAGAAUAGUUAUUCCACCCAUCUCUUUAGCUUGGCCUAAGGUCAACUCGCCCUCCUAGAGGCAAUCCCUUGGCCAGCUGAGGCUCAACUGAAAUGUUCAUUGCCCCUCCACCCACAAUAUAUACCUCCUUGUGUAGACCUGAUGAGCUAUUAUAAGCCAAAUGUUCUACUGAAACAAGAGAAAUGGAUUCUAAGGUAGCCAGAUAUUCUACUGAGAAUAGAUUCUACAUUAGAAUGCAAUGGUGAGAUUCACAGUGUGGAGAAUAUUCAAAAUGUAGACAUGAGAUUCACGAAGAAUACACAGCUGAUACCUAUGACCAUGGUAGAACUGAAAAUUAGUCUUAGAUUAAACCAACACUGGGCUACUUGGAACUCAACAUGUUAUUCCAUGCUAUGACAUGCCCAAGUUUUACAAAAAGGAUAGGAUCCCUAAAGAUAUAUAAUAUGUCACAUGCUUCAUUCAGUAUUCAGGAAGGAGGAGCUCAUUCUAUACCCAAUUCAUCAUCCAGAAAAUUAUAUUUGACUCACAUGCACAGGAAAAUUUCAACCUGAACAAUUGGAAUGAAUAUUUGAGGUGGAUCCUGAAAGACCCUCCUACCUACUCCUUUUAGGUUCUGAGCUGAUCCGAGACUCAGUUUCUGGAUUUGUUGUUGUAAGCCUUUGUAUUUAAAUUGAGAACUUCAAGACUUGAGCUCUCCAUCUUUUCAUCUAAGGUAGGGACUGGCUCCUUGUACAUUCUCAAUGGCAGAUGAAAGUGUUCUUUUGAUUCUACCUUGCUACUAAAGAGCUACAUUCUUAGUCAGCUCUAGUGGGUAGUGUGUGGAAUUAUAAAGAAACCCCAUAACCCAGUGAACCCCAAUCUAUCCCCAAAUAGCCACUCUAUAUCCUAUAGUAAAAUUUCACCUCUUUCCUGCCACUAUUGAAAUCAUUACUCUGACCCAAUCUCUACUUCGUUUUCCUCAGCAAGGCACUCAAGACCAACCCAUAGUCCACAAAUAACCACAAUCCCCCCUCCCUCUGGAAAUUCUCUAAGCUCUCCUCCUUGUAACACUUUAUACCUUGUAGUAAAAUUGUGACCAGCACAACCACUGGACAUUUUACGGUUGUCAGUCAUCUCAGUUGUCUAUUUCUGCAUCUCCUUAUAUUUCAAGAAACCCCACAGUUCUUCAACAACUACUCCACAAAUCACAAUAAAUCCCCAACUACUGCUCUACAAAUCCUGUUAGUUUGGAAUAAUUCAGUUGUUUCAUCAUGGCAUCUACUUGAUGUUCCUCAGUGUGUAUACUAUUUCCCGAUCUGCCCCAUAUUCCAUGAAAAAUGCAGAAAAGUCCUUGACUAUGCCAACUCCACAAAGUGCACCAAUGCUUUCCCUCAGAGAUGUUAUUUUCAUUUUCAUAAAGAACUCCCAACCUCUUUCAAUUGUACAUCCUCUUGCCACUUCAGAUUCAACAUCAGCCAACAAUCAUCCUCCACAAGCUUUCUCAGACUACCCAGGACACUACAAUCUUCUUUCCUACCUUCCACAAUCCACAUUCAUUCUCUCCCUUACCAUAACCACAUCUUACUCCCCAGUAAUUUCAAGUCUUUCCUCCAAAGGUGUCUUAGCCUCCAUAGACAGUACCACCCUUGGCUCCUCCAUCUUCUUUGAAUUCCAUUUUAUGCCUGCCUCUUCUCUCCAAGCCAUUAACAUUCCCAGGAGAACCUCAAUUGAGUCAUCUUCAUCUUCCUUUUAGUAAUCCUUCCACAGGAAGUGUAAUUUUCCUUGGAGUCUCACAGUUACUCGUUCCCUUUAAAAAGACAUUCCAUUCUACAAGAAGCCUCUGACUAUAAUGUGCACCAUAUACAUUGUGUUUUUCCCUUUUGUGUCUCUGUGAUAGAAUACUAUGCCCAUAACAAUGUGUGGAAGAGCAUUCCUUUGGGCUGAUGGUUCCAGACAAGUAAAAGUUCACUAUGGCAGGGAGACAUGGGAACAAUCAGCAAGUAUGGUGGUUACAGUAGAAAGGUAAGAGCUCAGUUCUUGAACCCAAAAACAUAAAGCAGAGGGAUGGCCCUGAGAAUGGAGUGAAAGCCUUCAAACUUCAAAGCCUACCCCUCAAUGCUUCUACUGGUAUACUUGCUUCAGCAAGACCUCUCAAAAGGCCUGACUAAAUGCAAUCUAAGUGGUCAAAUACAUAAGUCUAUGAAAUACAGUAUCAUUCAAAUAACAACAAUACACUAUACUCUAGAGUACAACCAAUCUGCAUGACAAAUCAUACCACCCUCCUCUUACAACCUAAUUACACUGAGCAGUAACAGCUAAUCACAAUUUCGGCAAGGCCUUACUAUGCCACAGUAAUUCUGCUAAUUCGUUUUCAUCAUCUUUACAGCUAAUUCACAUGUCAUUGAAACUUCCAAGGAACCUGUCACCAAGCACAUUCCAAACUAAACCCCAGCCUUCCGUCCACAUAAUCAUCUCACACUCCGCAAUAUUCUCCAAUAACCCUCUAAAUUCUCCAAAGAAUGCUUGUAUCUCAGAUGAUAGUUUGCAGUUAGUGCCCGAGAAGGAUCACUAAAAUCCAGACUAUAGUCCUAAGGACCUCUUUGUCAAUUUACAUGCGAAGAGACAUCCUUUAUGGUGUACAAAAAUAUAUUUUAUCAUGAUGUGCACACUGCUGAAUGCUGAACACAGCAGAUGUCUAUACUUUCAAAACAGGCCUUGAAUAGUGUGCUACAGCAAGACAAAAAUGUGCUCUGUAAUGUGGAAAUUGUUCAUCCCAUUCACACUCAGAGUGGUAACACCAUGCAGAUUCUAGCUUCUCCAAUGCCAUUUGUUAUUGUGAAGGAAGAAGAGGACACGGACAAUGACAUUGAGAGGGAAUAGUGAGUUAGAGAUGGAUUGCAUGAAGAUUUGCGUAUGCUAGAAAUUAUUAAGGAAAUACAGUGGCUACUUCCAGUUUCCAGUCACCAUCCUUACUGUUCUGAAACCUCCUAUGAAUCAUGACAGAGAAGCUACAUUAGAAGCUCAGAGAAGGGAAAUGAACUGCAUGACCCUAGUCUAGCAGUUUAACUGUGUGCUUAAGAUGUUUACCGAAAGCCCAUAGCUUUUAACUCACUUGCUACUUGCUUAUGGAAGAGUUGAAAAGCCGUUGCUUUCAGCUCUUGAUUCUAGUUCUUGUGCACUGAGCCACACUUCUUUUUUUGUCUUUGUAUUUUUCUAAUUUUGAUCCAAAGACCUCCUUGUCUCUCUUAUUUAUCAGAAUAGCUUCAUAGCCCCAGGGGCUCAUGAAAUUUCUCUCUCUCUCUCUCUCUCUCUCUCUCUCUCUCUCUGUGUGUGUGUGUGUGUGUGUUCCAAAAUUCAUCAUUCACCCUUAUAUUAAAUGGACUGAAAAUAGUUGUAAAUGGUAGGAAAGUAAGUAUACACAAAAUAAAUUACAAUCUCUGUAAGGAUUUUUGAAAUCUCAGGAGCAAUAUCAAAAAAGUAAAAAAAUAAGAUCUUAUUUCAUUUUCUUUAAACUAAAGAAAGUAUGGAAAAUUAAAUUAGGAGCUAUGAUCCAAAAGAAUUUGAUCAUUAUUGAUAAUAUCUUUAGGCUAGAAAUUUUCUAUCUCAUGACAUCAGAUAGGUAAGUGGGAACACCUGACAUCGAGUGAAUUUUGGGCCAAAAAGAGGCCAUUCAUGUAAUUUCCAAUUAAAAGCGUCUUGUAGUCAGGCAGUCAGUUCAGGUAUCCAGGUUUAGCUAUUUAGUGCUAGUUUCCUUUGAAAUAAAAAGGGUAAGUGUGGAUGCUGAAAUGGUUAUUGGUAAAACCAAACAGGUAUAUAUCCUUUGUUUGAAGAUACAGCCAAUUCUAGAAAGAUAUUUUUCACAUUGUAAUAAUUUUAGUUUAAAAUUACUCUGUGGUGAUGUGAAUGAGCUUCAUUGCAUCAUAAACUGCUGGAUUUACCACGCAGGAAAGAACCAAAUUUCUGGUAAGAGACAAUGGUUAUUUCAUGAUUAGCUCAUUUUUACCGGCUCUUGAAAACUUCCUCAGAUCAGUUAAGGUACAUCAAUGAAGACAGUUCAAAUGCAGGAUGUUAAAUCUAAGUAUCCUCUAAGACCAAAAUAGCUAGCUUAAAUGUGAAAAUGUCCACUCUGUCUGCUUUCACAAAUUCUAUACCUGGAGGAACUGAAGUAAAGGUUACACUGAACCUUGCUGAGACUAGGCUUGGGGAUUUUCUCCAUAUUUGAAAGAAUCUGAGAGAAACAGUGCCUAGAUUCCUGUGUAUAUUUUAUAAAUACCCUCAAUGUUAAGCAACUUCAAGCUACAGUUACUAUCUUAUUCUGUCAGUUGAUCAGAAGUUUCAAAUAGUAAUUAGUAUAUAGUCAAUUAAAAUGGGGCUAUCUAGGGCUAGAAAAAUGGUCAUAAUUAAUUUAUGGAUUACUUCUUGUAGAACACAGAAAUAUAUUCUUGAAGAACAAACACAAAAAUAUUCUCUUUAAAAGGACUGAAUGGUAGCACCAUUCUCUCUUGAUCUCUUUAGGGAGUAAAUGCUAAGGUAAAAACAAAUGAAUAUCAAAAUUGUAAGGAUGGGAGGAAGAAAGACAGCUGAAGUCCUAAAGUGCUUGUUAUGCAAGCAUGCGGAUUUGAAUUCAAUUACUGGAACACACACAGCUGAGUGUGCUUUUCUGUACCUAAACCCAAGAGCUGGUCAUGUGAAGAUAGAUAGAUCAAUAUCUGGAGCUCACUGGUCAGCUAACCUGGCCUAAUUGAGGAGUCUCAGGCCAGUAAGAGACCUGUCUCAAAGCCAAGGUAUAAGGUGCCCAAGGAACAAAAAUCCAAGAUGGAUUUCUAGCAUUCUUAUCUACACACACCUUCACUCAUGUGUACUUGCACACAUGCGUGUGUGUACACACACCUCAAAAUUUACAAUUACUUCAGACCUAUAUAUAAAAUGCAUACCAUUCACAUCCUGUGUAUGUAAAGCCUCUUGUAACAUUUAAAUGAUCUCUAGAUCAAGUCUCAUACCUAGGUCAAUGCAAUUGCUAUGUAAAUAUCUAUUGCAUUACAUUGUUGAAAACAAUGCCAAGAAAAAGUAUGUACAUGUUCACAAUAGGCCUUUAUAAGAAUCAUGUUGAUCAGGGAUGUUGAUUGAAUGCACAGACGCAGAGGCCACAGACACAUAAGAGCUAGUUUUGCCCGGGACCCUUUAUCUCACAGUCACGAAUACAGGAAGUUUAUCCUCCAAUUUGAUAAUUGGGCUGGUCCACUGCCUUAUCAUUCCAUGUAAAUUUAGAAACAGAGCAGUCAUCCUUCACUGUGCCCCAACCCCAACCCCAACCCCUGCCCAGGGACUAUUUAAUGAAUUUCACUGACUAGCAUCUGAUCCAAUCUACUGUCCUCAGUAGCAAUUUUUCUACUCUGCAAAUAUUAGUGGAUCUGUAUUUCUUGGCAAUUUAAAUCAACACAGACUAGUAGAUGGAGGCAUUUACUGACUGUAAGCCUAUAACCUAACCAGAGCCUGGUCACUGGCCCCUAAUGCCUCAGCAACAGCAAUAGAAGCAGAAACACACUAAAGUGUAGCUUCCCAUCCUAUAACAUCAAGGAACUGUUGAAAACCUGUAGAUGUGAAGUUUCAGAAGAAUCCCUUUGGAAGCCUAGCAACAUAAAGCUAUCUUCAAUCUGGGGAGUUCUGGUCAAAGGCGAUAAAAUGUGAUCCUAUUGGGACAUCACAGCGGCAAUUCUCCAGUAGGGGUAGAAGGAACAAAAGCUGAGUCCCACAGUGGUGAGGUUCCGAAGGCUGAUUGGAAGAUAAGGGCGAUGUCUGCAAGUGAUGAAGCUCCAGGUAUUUGUACUUUACUGGAAAGUCAUGCGAAUGAACAGAAACGUCCUGGCAAGAUACUUGUAGCCACUCUCUAUCAUAUGAGGGUGGCGAUCUGGAGGACAUUUGCUCCUGUCCUACUCUUUUACAGCCUAGAGAGAAGUUUUCUUUUUUACUUUGGAGGAGCUGAAGUUCAUGAUUGGAAGCAAGAGAGGUGAAGGGAGGCACCGAGAAAACCAGAGCGUCUCCUAAGCUACCUCCUAACAUCUCCUAGUCACUCUUACAACUUUAUUUCCUGGCUAGGCAUUUUCUUUUCUUUUUUCUUCUAGUUAAUUUAUUAUUCACAUUACAUCCCAAUAGAACACCCCCUUCCCUCUUCUCUUCCCAGUUCCACCCUCACAAACACCUCCUACACUUUUCUUCAGAGAAGAGGAAGCCCCCAGUGGGUACCAACCUGCCCUGGCACAUCAAAUCACAGCAGGAAUAAGUGCAUUCUUUCCCACUGAGGCAAGUCAGGGCAGCCCAACUGGGAGAAGGGGAUCCAAAGGCAAGCAACAGAGACAGAGAUAGUGCCUGCUCUAAUCGUUAGGUGACCCACGUGAAGACCAAGCUAUACAUCUGCUACAAAUAUGUAGGGGGCUUAAGUCCAUCCUAAGCACACCAUUUGGUUAGGGAUUCAGUCUCUGUGAGAACUCAGGUAAGUUGAGUCUGUAGAUCUUUUUGUGGUGUCCUUUACCCCUACUUCUCCCUCAAUCUUAACCUUCAACUCUGCCAAAAGAUUCCUGAACUCUGCCUGAUGUUUGACUGUGAGGUCUCUACAUCGGUUUCCACCUACUGUUGGGUGGAUCCUCUCAGAGGACAGUUACGUUAGGUUCUGGUCUGCAAGCAUAGCGGAAGACCAUCAGGCAUAGGCAGUUUCACCAGGAGUGUUACUCACAACCUCUGAAGCAUCAAAAUUCAGAUAAGGUCAGUGCCCAAUGAUAAAAUCACCGGUAUGCCCACUGUUGUUCUUGAUGUUUUUAUACUAAUUUGUGAAACCAUAUUUAAAAUUAAUAGACUAAAUAAAAUAGCAUCUGAAAGUUUCUGACACAAAGCAGACUCUGAGUAAAUUAGAUUUGAAUAACUAUUGAGAGCCAAUUAUAUGCUAGGAACUCUAAUAGAUCAUUGUAGAGACUCAUUGAGUAGGACUUAGGUCUUGUCCUCAGUGGGGUCCUGGUGUGGUGAAGAAAAAGAAACAAAAUAUAGCAGGGUAAUAUGGUUUUUGGGAGUCCCUUCACUGCCUUCUGUGACUAAGAUAAAGAUUACUUAGAGGUCAUAAAGCAGAGAAGAGGGAGUAGGAAAGAUCUGGAUCUAUACAGCAUCUUGAAAUUGAAAAACCAAACCUACUCCAUCUUGGGACUGGCCUCCACAUUAAAGAAAAUAAACAAAGCCUGAGAAUUUGUCCUGCAGCAGAACCCAAGCUGCAUCCACAUACCAGGAAGGACCUAGCUACUUCCUAGCAACAGUUAGUCAAGGAUUAGUCUGACUUGUUUCAGUUGUACUUUUGGAUCAUUCAUGAUGUAUAUAAUCUUGCUUCAGAGCACCCACCUAUCAGUGUACAAUAGUUAUUCAAUUAGAUACUUGACAGGUGAAACUCCCCACCCUGUUUCUAUAAAACUUUGUCCCUCUAAGAGCUCUGGGCUGCACCCUCCCAUUCUGCUGUCAGAGAUGGCAAUGAGCCCCAAGCUUGAGCUUCUAAAUAAAGACCCUAACGCAAUUACAUCAGAAUCAGCUCCUUUGUGGUCUUUUGUGGUUCAAGAAUGCUUCCCAACCCAACACAAUGUCCUAUAUAGUCAUGUUUUUUACAUGUAGUAAAUACCCUGUAAACAAUGUUGACAAAAUUCAAGGUACUACACUUACUGUUUGAAAGAAGGAGACAGACAAAGAGAAGGCAUCAGUAGGAUAUUUGCUGCAUAUAUGUAACAGAGCGUAUAAUAAAAACCAUAAAAGAGCUGGCUGAGGUGUUUUUUAUGAGAAAAGUCAGAGGUUACCAUUUCAGAAUAUUCAGGCAGGAUGGAGUGGAUUGGGGUAGUAGGUGGGACCAAAACAUGAUACCAGUAACAAAAUGUCCAAUGACCUGAUCCUGAAUAAACUUUUAACUGAUAAAACAACCAUGAAAGCUCAGAAUUGUGAUGAUAUAUAGACACUAACUGCUUUGUCUUGCUCAAAUUUAUACACUAAGGGGAGAAAUAGAAAGCCAUACCUAGGGUUACUUGGGGCCAAGGAUUGUGUUUCUCACUACAUUACUAUUUGUUAAUUUGACAUUUAUUUAUUUAUUUAUUUAUUUAUUUAUUUAUUUAUUUAUUUAUUUAUUUAUUAAUGUGUGUAUAUCACCUGCCAUAGUUUAUGUGUGCAGGUCAGAAGACAAUCUUACAGAGUCUGUGAGUGGACAUGAGCGAGCAGGAUGAAUGUGGGAGAUGAGACAGAAACCCCUCAUCCUGGGGUAGACAGAGAAAUGCAAACUUGUGAAUUAAUUGCUCUAACACCUUUAGUGUCACUCUGUGCAGUCCAACAAGAGUCUGACAUAAAUGGAAAAGCUGCCAAAGGUGAGAAGUGUGGACUGACCACCCUACUGAAGUUUGAAGAUAGGCUGCACAAAUUAAAAUCUCAGCAGACAGUUUGCCAGACACGUAAUGUUGAAGACAGGAAGUGUCAAAGGUAGAGACAAACAAUAUAGCAAAAAACAGGCAUUGAAUUUACCUGCUCUACUUCCUCAGAAGGAAGAGUCAUGGGCCAAUUAACAUCAAAGACUUUGUUCUAGGAAGCAUGUUUUAGCUUAUGCAAAACUUGUAUUUGGGCAGAGAGGGAACAUAGAACAAAGAACUGUGAGGAACUUGAUUAGUGAAUUAAGUGCAUUGCUAAGAUUGGAGGAGAACAGGAGAACACCACAUCAACAGUAAAGCUUGUAGCUUGUAGAACAAGAGGGAUGCAAAUAACCCAUGUGUUGGGUCAGUUCUAAACUGUCUUCUGCAGAGCACCAACCACAUAGUUGUAUAGAAAUCUGUGUUCAGAAUCUACUUCUGCUGAGGGACACAGAUGUGCUGGUUCUUGAAUAAAAGGUCUAGAAUUCACCACACAGCACCUAACCCCAGUUGCUGAUGAUGUUUUAUAAGAUAUUAACAACAUAAAAUUUUUGUCUUCCUGUGCUAAAUGCAAUAAUUAUAUACCAAUUUUUAUAUAGAAUCAAAAACUUUGGUACACAGGGCUCAUGAUGGCCUGCCAGAUAUUAUGGUGUGAUAUACUGAAUGAGAGUUGAUAUAUAUCAUGACAACCUGAGCCCAAGCAAGAGAAUUUUUUGGGUUCUUUUUGCAUACCCAGCCACUAGCGUGGUCAGGAAAUAGAAAGGAAUAUCUUGUCUGUUAUCUCUUUUUCUUACGUUGGAGUUGGAGAUCCCCAGUGUCUGGGAGACAAGAAGGUUUCUUCAGGUAUGGUCUGAGAUCAGGAAUGUCAGGAUCAACAUUACCUAGGAAAUUGUUCAAAAUGUAAUGUGGGGCCACACCCUCCAGAUACUGAAUCAGAGAUGCUGGGUUGGAAACAGCAUCUGUUUUAACAUGUUUUGUAACCACUGACCUAGAAAAAAUGUGAUAAUCUGGCAGAAAACAUGGCCGAACGGUUAUGCUACAUAAUAACAAAUAUUCUUGAUGUAAAGAAAAUGUCACUUUUUUGAAAAGAUCCAGUUAAGUAAGAGCUAAACAAUAUAGACAGUAUGUGGUUUUAGUGUGGAUGAAAAAUGAUUUUGUUACAAUUUCAUCUUUUCAACACUUUGAUGGAUUGACUACUAUCUUCCCUAAAGCAACAUCCACCCUGAACCUGUGAAUAUGAUUCUUUUUUUUUUCUUUUGCAAAAAGGGGUCUCUGCAGAUAUGAUCUAGUUAAUGGGUGGUCAUGCUGCAGGACCAAUGCCCUCAGAAGAAGGCAGAUUUUUUUUUGACACAAAGAAAUGAGGAAGAAUGUCAUGAAGAUUAAUGUAGAAAUUUGGAUGAAGCUUAUAUAAGCCUAAGGUAGCCAGCCAGUCUGACAACUGGACACGACAUGAAGCAGAUAAGCUCCCAGUUCUCUUAAAAAACUUGACUCUACGCACACUUGACAUCACACUCUGGCUUCCCCAUCUUUGGGAGAAUAUAUACUAUCUUUUAAGCUUUGUCACAACAACCAUAGAAAUGUAAGAUGCAUUUCAUCAGGUGUGGUGAUUUCAAUGCUAUUGGCCUCAGUAGACUCAUAUUUCGGAUGCUUGGUCUGAAUUCGCUGGCACUGUUUAGGAAGGUUUUGGAAGUAUAUCGUUGUUGGGAGGAGGUAUGUUACUAGGGGUGGCAUUUGAAGUUUCCACAGGCCAUGCUGUUCCCAGUUAGCUUUCUCUGUCUCUUGUAUUUAUACCAGAGACAAGUUCUCAGCUACUACCCCAGCACCAUGUUUGUCUGCCUGAUGCUCUAUGGGUCUUGGACUUCCCCACUGAAACGGUAAGCAAGCCUCCAAUAAAAUGUUUUAUUUUAUAAGUUGGUCACCAUGUCUCUUCACAGCAAGAGCAACUAACACAGCAAGGAACUAAGGCAGUAGGCAAAAUUUCUCGACAUUCAGGACACACCCCUAUUUCUCCCAUUUCUCAGAUUCUUGGUACAUCUUCUUUCCAUAUGUUUCUUCUCUUUAGCCAUCUUGCUUAUGAUUGUGUCCCAUGGAUUUCAGAUCUUUUCUCUAGUUUUAGAUAUUUACAUUAAGGCAAUCAAACUUCUCUUAGAUGGAACAUAUAUUCCUUAAUUCUCUGUUCCUGUGAUAAAACACCGUGACCUAAAGAAAACAGAGCUUAUUUGCAUCACUAUUGCAGAGGUUAAAAGA